rnacentral:rRNA from 1 species
AAAAAAAAAAAAGUGAGUAAACUGACCUUGACUUUGUGAUAACUUAAGGAAAAUGGGGCUAAUACCGGAUAGGAGCUCCUGCUGCAUGGUGGUGGUUGGAAAGUUUCGACGGAUGGGGAUGGACUCGCGGCUUAUGAGCUUGUUGGUGGGGUAGUGGCUGACCAAGGCUUUGACGAGUAGCCUGCCGGAGAGGGUGACCGGCCACAUUGGGACUGAGAUGAGUCUCAGCCUCCUAUGGGAGGCAGCAGUGGGGAAUAUUGCACAAUGGGCGUAACCCUGAUGAAUCAACGCCUUUUUUUU